AAUAGUUGUCACACAAACACAAAGAGACGCUGAGACGUCAAAAGAAACAAAAAGGUUGAAAAAGAAAAAAGGGCCCGGAGAGAUCUCGCUCGAUCUCCUGCCUACGUAUCUCAUCUGGUAUGAGAAUCAGGGCAAUGUAGUUCCCCUUAACAGGGGAAAGGAGACAACAAACUAAUAGGGAGUCUCAGACUCGAGCCUAAUAGUUGGCACACAAACACAAAGAGACGCUGAGACGUCAAAAGAAGCAAAAAGGUUGAAAAAGAAAAAAAAAGG
rnacentral:lncRNA from 1 species